AGUCUGCUUUAAUGGGGCUUCGUUCCUUCAGAUUCACAAGGUACUGUCGUCACUACGAAUGGCAUCCAUCUGUACCUGCACAUUCAACCACCAUCAAAGCUUCUUCCUACAACCAACCAUUCUUUGGCAAUGGAGGGCAGAGCAGCAGCAGAUCAUUCAGCUGGCCAAACAAUGCCAUAAACCAAUCACAUUAGGAGGCGACAUGCGAGCUGAUUCUCCCGGACAUUGCGGUAAGUACGGCUCAUACACUACAAUGGUUCUUGAUUGCAACAAGGUUGUGGACAUUCAAUUAGUCCAGAGUAAUGAGGUCGGAAACAGACAGAGAAUGGAGAGGGAGGGCUUUGAAAGAAGCCUUCAUUUUCUUGAGUCGGAGGGGUUGGACAUUGGAGCCAUAGUGACUGAUCGCCACCCAUCGAUUGGGAAGUUCAUGAGGGAGCAAAGACCUUCCAUCCAAGACAUCAAUUGUCAAUCACAUGCACAAUGUGCACCAGCACAACAAUGAGUUGUACCCCAAAUGCCCCCACCCACCUCUUGAAAGAGAAUGGCUGCAGCCACAUACUAAAGCAUCUGAGAGACUGUGUGACAUCCUGCAGUCACCUCGUCUCCUUAAAGACAUAG